AUAAAAGCUAGAAAUUAUAUAUUUAGAGAGAUUAGAUAUGCAGAUUCCAGAGACGAAGACGCAGCGCAAUCUUGUGGUAAUGGUCCGCUUCACACCUUCUACUGGAUUGCCGAUAUGAGGACAUAGUUUUACCAACAGUACGGCAGCCUUCGCAAUAACUUUUGGCGACGUACUUAUCGACCCCUUGCCAAAUCGAAAAUUUUUGUUGCCGACGGCAUAAUUUUGUAUGUCAAAUCAGAGGUGGGUUCAGAAAUAAUAUCAUGGAAUAAACAUAAACAUCAAUAGACCACUGGGUACCCUAUUUUUUUCCUUAGUAAAUUAAAUCUGAUUUAAUCUAAAAAAAGGAAUUUUCUUUUCAUUUCGGCCAGACAAAAGUGCCCGUUUUACAAAUCAAAUAAUUCUUACGAAUUCGAGAACCGGAGCACCGAUUUUUCGAGAUCAAAAUCGAAAUCGUAACAUUCUUAUGAAUUUGAUUGCCGUACAAUGUCCGUUUAUUUUGUUCUAAAGUAUUACUGAUACUCUCCAAAUAGUAAUAACAAUUUACAUUAUUUAUAAUUUUUAGAAAUCUUUCCUGCUUCAAUGUGUCUUGACAAAUAAAAUUAAAUACAAAAAUGGUUAUAAACAUUGGCGGCACGAUCGUCGAACAUUUUUUGAAACAAAUAUAAUAUCUGCUUAAAAAUAUAAAAUAACAAAAAGCGAAUAUGCUAUAGUCGAGUUCCCCGACUAUCAAAUACCAGUUAACUCAGCUAUUGAGAAUGCGAACUCGAAAUUGCAUAAUUUUUCAAGUUAUUCCCCAAUAUACGAGAUAUUAUAAUAUCUAUCGAGAUAUUGAGGAAUAAAGUGAAGAAAAAAUUUAAAAUCGUUCAAAAGUUGGGCGUGACCAUUUCGUAGGUGUAAGAAGGGGCGUGGCCACAGUGUAUUUGGUACAUAUACCCAUAGAAAUGGGCAAGACAACUAUGAAAAGAAGGUAAAUCAAAACACUUUUCAAAAGUGUGGGCGUGGCAUGUUCGUUCGUUAGAGUGGACAUGAAAAAACGUUGUAUUGCAAUUCAAUAGGAACUUAAAAGACUAACACAAAAAUAAAAAAAAUAUCAAAACAUUUUCCUAAACUGUGAGUGCGGCAGUUUUGGGCGGUUUGUGGGCGUUAGAUUCGGCAACAUGGGAACGCUGCGUCUAUGUCUCUGGAAGCUGCGUGCAUAUUCUCAAGCCUCUAGCUUUUACAGAUCCUGAGAUCUCGACGUUCAUACGGACGGACAGACAGACCGACAUGGCCAGAUCCACUCGGAUCAGGAUCUAUAGAUCAAGAAAAUAUAUAUAUACUUUAUAUGGUCAGAAACGCUUCCUUCGACCUGUUACAUACUUUUUAACAAAUCUGGUAUUCCCAAUAUUAAUACCCUACCUACCGCAAUAUUAAAACCUGAUAUACGUGAAUUUUAAAAUCUCAUAUGUUAAGCCUGUCUGUAUUGCUUCGCCGGGCAAGAAUAUGUGUGCUUACUAAUUCAAAAUGUAUUUCAGUACAGUAUCAGCUAUUAAUAUAAGAUAAGUAUGAAAAAGAAACGCAUUUUCAAAUUAGAAUAAACCUUGUUUUUAUAUAUUUUAAUAUAUUCUAAUGAAAAACUCCCAAAGAUUGUCCUUUAUAGAUCGCUGCGUUUCAACUCAGUUCGCUUAAUUCUCCUUAUUUUCACUUUAUUUUAUGGGACUACAUUUUUUCUUUAAAUGUAACAACCGGAUUUUGUAUAGCUGUAUCGUUUAUAAUAUGCUUUUAAAUAUAUUCGAAGCGAAAUUGUUUGAUAAUUGUAUAUUGGUGCAAAACACGAAAGAAGUAGUUUGUAAGUUAGUUUUUGAACUGAACCUGAUUAAAAAAUUUCCGGUUUUGAUUCAUAUUGCGAAAGAAGUAUAUAUUAUAUAUUAUUGAAGUGUUUGUAUGUAUAACAUGAUAUGACUUCGGCGUCAUUUCAUGUUGUGGUACGUAUGUGAUAACGCCAAACAGAAAAAAAACUUGUUCUUGUAGUAUAGUAUAAAACCUUGUGAGUAUUAUCAAUGAGAUUUUAAGUCAAUUUGUCCGUUUGUCUACCAGCCUGUCUGUCAGUACAUAUGAGCGCUGUGGUCUCAGAAACUAUAAAAACUUGAAAGUUGAGAUUAGGGACGUGGAUUGGUGAUUCUGGGGACGUAGACGCAGCGCAGGUUUGCUUUAAAAUAUUGACACUCCCACAAACAGUCCAAAACUUUCAAGGCAUUUAAUUUAUUAAUUUCUCUUCCCAUUUCCUGUUGCUAUGCCAAUAUAAUGUUGGCAACGCGCACACUUGUGUAAAUUAUUGGUUUAUUGUGUUUAUUCUUUGCCAAUUUGUGUCUCUAUGUCACCAAAAUGAUGCAACUCCUCCCCAGCACUAGCUGAGCCAUGUAUUUUUAAUUUUCGGGUAUAGCGUCAGCUCUUGCCCUUACUGUGGAUGGAAAUCCGACUUUGCUGUAAUCGGCCGGUCACACCACCUGAUAUUACCAUAUCAAAGCUAUCGCAAAAACUAAACGGUUACCAAGUAUUUAAGAAAUACAAACGCUUAGAGAGAGAAGCAAAGAAUGUGUAA